UGGGGAAUUUUGGACAAUGGGCGAAAGCCUGAUCCAGCAAUGCCGCGUGUGUGAAGAAGGCCUUCGGGUUGUAAAGCACUUUUGUCCGGAAAGAAAUGGCUCUGGUUAAUACCUGGGGUCGAUGACGGUACCGGAAGAAUAAGGACCGGCUAACUACGUGCCAGCAGCCGCGGUAAUACGUAGGGUCCAAGUGUUAAUCGGAAUUACUGGGCGUAAAGCGUGCGCAGGCGGUUGUGCAAGACCGAUGUGAAAUCCCCGAGCUUAACUUGGGAAUUGCAUUGGUGACUGCACGGCUAGAGUGUGUCAGAGGGGGGUAGAAUUCCACGUGUAGCAGUGAAAUGCGUAGAGAUGUGGAGGAAUACCGAUGGCGAAGGCAGCCCCCUGGGAUAACACUGACGCUCAUGCACGAAAGCGUGGGGAGCAAACAGGAUUAGAUACCCUGGUAGUCCACGCCCUAAACGAUGU
rnacentral:rRNA from 1 species